rnacentral:tRNA from 1 species
CUGAGGGUGUGCCUCAGUGGCAGACACUUGCCUGGCCUGCAUGAGGCCCUGGGUUCAAUACCCAGCACUGGGG